CAAAUAUAAGGGAUAAGGGAUGAGGUCUUAAAAGUUGAUCAUGUGCUGUAGUAGGUACAUAUGUUGCCUUCAGCCUACCUCCUUCUUUGGAAACAGCCUCUCCUGACCUUCUUUUUAUACAUUAUUGUUUCCAGCCUGUCUUCUUUCACAGUACUAAUUGGACCAGGUGUGGAUCACUGAGCCAAGAAAUUCAAUCAGUGUUCACCUGGAGAAACAGAACUGAAGGAAGCGGACCUGGACCUGGGGCACAGAGGUGUCAGCAUGUUCAAACACAAGCAAGUCAAAGUUACUGUCAAUAGGAGAACGAUCUAAUCUCUGUCCUGCCCAUGCACUACCAACAAUCCUAAACCUACUAUAUCUACCAGAACAAAGAGGAAUCGGAUACCAAGACGGUCUUAACGCUGGAUCCACUGCUUUGAUUUUAGGAGAGACCAGUGAAAAUUCAAAGCUGUCAUUGCCAAUUUGUUCGAGCUCAGAUUCAAAAGGUCACCCACAUGACACAAUGGAAACUAGAAAC
ensembl:lncRNA